ACGGAGGAUGCAAGCGUUAUCCGGAUUUAUUGGGUUUAAAGGGUGCGCAGGCGGACGAUUAAGUCAGUGGUGAAAUGUAACAGCUUAACUGUUGAACUGCCAUUGAUACUGAUUAUCUAGAGUACAGACGACGUUGGCGGAAUGCGACAUGUAGCGGUGAAAUGCUUGGAGUUGUCGCAGAACACCGAAUGCGAAGGCAGCUAACGAGGAUGUAACUGACGCUCAUGCGCGAAGGCGUGGGGAGCAAACUG
rnacentral:rRNA from 1 species